UCCUCGCGCACGCCAAGGCAUGCAGGUUGUCACCUCGUGGACUUCUGUCCACAGUGAUUAUAAAUUAAGCAUCUUUAUAGUUUAAUAGAUAUUUAGAAUUAUAAUGUUAUCGAAGGAUGGUCACACUAGUAAGCGUGGUGGAAGUUGGAAAAAAAUAUAAAAAGCACAUGUCUUUAAGUUUUAGUUAUAUAUUGUUUUAAAAGCUUAUUACAUGGUGUCGAGCACUAUCAGAGUUGGAUUGCUCAAUAUUGGCACAAGAAUGGCCAAAGUGGAAACAAAGCUUAUGUACAUGCACAUGUUGACUGGUCUGGAAAAGAUGCGGAUCCAGAGCCUAUGAAGAUAGCCACUUUCUUGUGGUUGGCGGGUUCUAAAGCAACGGGAAUCUACAAAGCAAAGUUUCCCAACGAUGGACAACAAACAGUAUGUUAGGAACUGCAGCAACGUCAGCAGACCCUUCAUCAUCAACUGUGCAAGCUGUUGGUCGCCCACUGGACGAUGUACUGACAGCAUUCGACAAACGUAGUAUUCCAUUUCGAAAUACUACAAUGGAAACCUAUAAAUUCAAUAAUAUUAAACAGGCAGAUGGACAGCCUUGUAUUGAAUUCGAAAUGCAACUAUGCAAGCAAAUACAGUCAUGCGAUUUUGAGGGUACCUGUGGCCAAAAGUACGAAGAAAGAAUGCUAAUGGAUCGUACCAUUAUUGGCAUAAACGAUAAAAGGCUACAACUAAAGGUUCAAGAGUCAAAAAAUAAGAAGCUAGAGGAUGUACUAAACGAGUGCAAAGCCUAUGAAGCUGCUACGGAAAAGAACGCGAUUAUACAAAAUCGGCUACGUGUUUUGUUGGAGAGCAGUACCAUCAAUGCUGUUGCUCGAAAAUGCUUUAAUUGUGGAGCUAUAUUUAACCCAAAUCAUCUGGUCGAGUGCCGCGGCAAGGAGGCGACAUGUUGUCAAAAACUGGGACAAUUUGCGAGAUACUGUAAGCAGCAGAAAAAAACGGGGUAAAAAACAAUCCUCAAUUCCUUCAAUUAAUUGGCUAGAGUCAGAUCUUUUGCCAAUGAGUUUAAUGCAGCGCUCCAGUUUUCAAGCCCUAAUUAUCCUCAGAGCAAUGGAUUGGCAGAAAAAGAAGUGACAAUAGCAAAAAAUAUCCUAAAACGUUGCUCACAAGUAAAUGAUUAUAUAUAUAGGAUCCUUGAAUACAACGCUACCCCAGUAGCAAAUUUAGAUCCAGCACCAUGCGAAUUAUUCUUUGGAAGAAUGUGCAAGACCAUAUUACCAAUAAAGACUGCAUUAUAUGGAAAUAAAAUUAAUGAAGAAAUAAUCUCACGGAAGUUUAUCGAAAAAAAAAGGAAACAAAAAAAUAUUACGACAUGCACUUAAGAAGCCUGCACUCAAGUCCAUUUAUUAAAGGUGAUAGGGUUCAAUUUAGAAAAAAAAAAUGAA